rnacentral:misc_RNA from 1 species
GAAAUGCGAUACGUAAUGUGAAUUGCAGGAUUGUGAAUCAUCAAAUCUUCGAACGCACCUUGCGCUCUUUGGCAUUCCGAAGAGCAUACCUGUUUGAGUGUCAUUAAAACCUCUGCCUCUUUUUUACUCUUUGUGAGUGAAAAAAGAAGCGAGAUGGGCGCUUCGCUUUUUUGUAACAAAGAGCGUCGCCUGAAACACAGUGGCCCGAAAGAACUGGCGUUGCACAUUGGCAAUACAAUUGGUGGUAGGGGGUCCAAGUGUCCCUUUUCAACUAUUUGUACGUGCUUUGUUGCUGUCCCAGUUUCAUUACUUUCAAGGGCAGGCACUAUAUUACAGCGAGACCGCGCGGCUCUGUAUGAGCGGCCACGUCUCCUCACAAAAUUUGACCUCAAAUCAGGUAAGAGUACCCGCUGAAUUUAA